UUAAUUGCCCAGAUGUUGUCAGGUUAGCUAC
rnacentral:piRNA from 1 species